GGGGGUGAAAGGCUUUCGACUUCGGUCGUCGCCGCGGGAGAAGCGAGCCGUGGUCUCCGGAGCCACGUUAAAGAGCCGGAACACUAAACAAACGCCGAGCCUGAGCUCGCGCUCGCGGCCUAAGACCUAGGUUGCGACGUCCACCCGGUCCCAGCCCCACGGACCGGUUCCGGGCGUCAUCUUGUGGGGCUUACCUGACGGUCCGGUCGGCGGGCCCGAAGGGACAUCUCAGCCGACUGAGGGCCUGCCGCCGGGGCCGGUGACGGCAGCGGGCUCGAGAUCUCUUCACCGGCUGCGCUCGGAGAAGUCCCGCCACGAGCCCGAAGGACGCGGGUUCGAUUCCCGCCACCUCCACCG
rnacentral:tmRNA from 1 species